CAAUAGCGUAUAUUAAAGUUGUUGCGGUUAAAAAGCUCGUAGUUGGAUCUCGGCAGGCAGGGGGUGGUUCGCUCUUAGCGCUACUGCCCCAUUUGCCUGUGUGAUUGGCGGAGGUUUCGGGGUGCUCUUCGUUGAGUGACCCGGGGCGCCGUCAGGUUUACUUUGAAAAAAUUAGAGUGCUCAAAGCAGGCUUUUCACGCUUGAAUAUUCGUGCAUGGAAUAAUGGAAUAGGAACUCGUUUCUAUUUUGUUGGUUUUCGGAAAUCGAGUUAAUGAUUAAUAGGGACAAUCGGGGGCAUUAGUAUUCAGACGACAGAGGUGAAAUUCUUGGACCGUCUGAAGACUAACUACUGCGAAAGCAUUUGCCAAGAGUGUUUUCAUUAA
rnacentral:rRNA from 1 species